rnacentral:rRNA from 1 species
ACCUACCUUUUGCUAGAAAAUAGCCUGAGGAAACUUAGAUUAAUGUCUAUUAGUAUAACAGAUUCGCAUGAUUCUGUUUAUUAAAGUAGCAAUACGGCAAAAGAUGGGCGUGCGUCCGAUUAGUUUAGUUGGUAAGGUAAAGGCUUAUCCAAGACAGUGAUCGGUAGGGGGCCUGAGAGGGUGAUCCCCCACACUGGUACUGAGACACGGACCAGACUCCUACGGGAGGCAGCAGUGAGGAAUAUUGGUCAAUGGAGGAAACUCUGAACCAGCCACGCCGCGUGCAGGAAGAAUUCCUUACGGGUUGUAAACUGCUUUUGUUUAGGAAUAAAAAUUCUUACGUGAUAAGGAUUGUGAAUGUACUAUACGAAUAAGUGUCGGCAAACUCCGUGCCAGCAGCCGCGGUAAUACGGAGGACACAAGCGUUAUCCGGAUUUAUUGGGUUUAAAGGGUGCGUAGGCGGUUUAUUAAGUCAGUAGUGAAAUAUUGCAGCUUAACUGUUAAAAUGGCUAUUGAUACUGAUAGACUUGAGUGAGAUUGGAGUAGCUGGAAUGUGUGGUGUAGCGGUGAAAUGCAUAGAUAUCACACAGAACACCGAUCGCGAAAGCAGGUUACUAAGUCUAUACUGACGCUGAGGCACGAAAGCGUGGGGAGCAAACAGGAUUAGAUACCCUGGUAGUCCACGCCGUAAACGAUGAUCACUAGUUGUUGGAUUUAUUUCAGUGA